AAGUCGUAACAAGGUCUCCGUAGGUGAACCUGCGGAGGGAUCAUUAACACGUUUACCCAAUAACGUUUAACUACUCUAUCAACCAACUGCGUGAAUACAAUGGAAUCAUUUAAUGAACGACCUAAGGGAAAAGAAUCAGUCUGUCUGAACUUAUUGCACGGAGUGAUGAGUGUGUCUUACGACAUACGGUGCAAUCAGACUAGUAGUGCUCGACAUUACAGGACCUCUUCUCUUUUAGGCUAAAACUAAUCUUCUUUUAUUAGUUCCCUUCAUCACUGGAGCGCCACAUACCAAUUUCACCCCUUUAUAACUCACUGGACUGAUACGAAACAGUGUAAUUUCACAAUUAUACUGCUUUGAUUGUUAAUAAUCAAAUAUCUAAGCACAACUCUUAGCAACGGAUAUCUUGGUUCUC
rnacentral:misc_RNA from 1 species